UUAUUGGGAAAGGAAGCAGGCAGGUAUUCACAGGUCUCAGCUUUCUACCUCUUCCCUCUCUUUUGUUGUUGAUUCCCUCACUGAACGAGGAACUUCUCUCACAACCUGGCUCAACAGAGCAGUGACAAAAGAGGGAGACCACACAUUGUCGGCAACAUUAUUCAAGGGGAACUAAAACAUCGCACCGACACAUACAUCAACAGCUGAACUCCACUGCCUGCGUUUUAACACACUAGGUCUGUAAUUCUUGAUUUUGGUAUCGUCCAGACUGUUUCCCCUUCCUUCCACUCCCUCCUCCAACAUGUCCAGCUCCCUCCCUCCUAAACUAAGAGUAAUUGAACUCACCCAGCCCCCCUGUGGAGAAGCUUGGUGCAACGGGCACGGCACGUGUGCUACUCCUGCUGGCGGGGGAGCAGACUUGGUGUGCGAGUGUGAGCUUGGCUACACGGGUGUAUCCUGCGACGGCACAGUCAACGGGGCGCUGAGUUUACCGCUGACCCUGAGUGUGCUGGCCGUCAUCAUAGGGCUGCUGAUUAUAGCUUUCAUCGUCGCCAAGGUGCGGCAGAAGCAAAAGAAGAGGAACAGGAAAGUCCUGGCAGCCAAACAUGGCUACAAUGUUGGUGUAUGAAGUGGAUAAUUCUGCACUCUAUCAGAGGUUAACCAGGACAUUGUGGCUGGAUACACCAGUGAGCUUCCAUCAGCAUCCUCAUGCAGCAAGGAAAUCUUGUGAGAAUUGUGUUAAAAGGGUAUUAUAGCUGACCUGACCCUUUUUAAUGCAAUGCAACUGCAAUUCACAAAUAUUUUGUUGUUUUUUGUUUGCCUAAGUAUUCAUAGUGUAAUUUAUAGAAUGUUGAUUACUUAUGGAUGUGUUGGUGUUGUGGUAUUACUUUUUGACUAUCCACUCACUCACUGUUUGUCACUAUGCCACCAAUGAACAUGCGUUGUCUACUAAAGGAUCCACUGAAGAUAUCUGACAGGAUCUCUCUUUUCCCCCUCAGAAAGCGUCUCCAUGUUUACAUGUGCAAAACAAUAGAUUGCCUUAUUGUGUCCUUUUAAACUGGCUACAUUAUGAUGAAGUCCAUCUAUAUGUUCCUAUUUUUUGACUGAGCUUUAGCUUCGUAGAAGUGAAUGCUUCAGCGGUACUGAGUGAUUCUUAUGAACAUAUCUUUAUGCACUUCAUUCUGUUAAUCCAAAUGUGGAUGAACUGACUUCAAAUUCUAGCAAUCUAUGACAAGUGAGGAAAUCAAAAACACAGACCAGAUGUAAUUAUAUUUUUUACGCUUUGUUUGGUCAGUACUUUAUCAUGUUUACUUGUGCUGUCAUCUCGAUAAGAAUUUGUUAUCAUUUGUGAUACAAGAUCAUCUGUAAACAAGGAACUGAGCUCUCACAGUGCAGAUUGCCAAGAACAGAAUUUAUAGCAGUUUAAUUCCACAAGAGAUGUUGUUUCUCAAGAAUUACUCCGACUUCAUCCCAUUUUUGCACUUUGUUUCCUGCCAACUGUGUUUAUUUACAUUUAAAUGAAAAUCUGUGCACUCUGGUGCUUAAAUUGUAGAUUGAGUCCAAUCACUUUUCAACGUUUGUACCAUACAUACAGUAUCUAUGUUGCUUUAAUGUUUAGAAACCAAGCUAGUUGUUGUUCUAUGCACUGUGGUACAUGCUAAGUAAACAACUUACUAGUGCUAUUGUCUCUUUCUCUUCUGACUGAAAAACUGUUUUGUAUUUUUUACACUUUUUUUUAACAACUUUUGUGUCCAACAUCAGCAAGAUGUGUUACCUUGUUCAUCAUCCAUUAAAAAAAAUAUGCAUUUUAAGUUUAUAUGACAUGAACUUCAACAUAAUCUGUUUUUAUUGGAUGCCUUUAAACUCACAGUCAGACAUAUACGGUAUCAGCAACCUUCAAUUAAACACUGAUCAAUGACCUUCUGAUGAUGACUCUGGAAGACAUCUGCAUGUAUGGUGUCGUUUUAUCUGGAUUUGAUCUUUCACCUGUUUGAGGAUGCAGAAUCAAAAGUGUGUGUUCAGGCUCCUGGCAGGGACACUUACAUACGUGUGUAUGUCGGAUGAUAAACCGAUUAUGAAU